rnacentral:rRNA from 1 species
UACGUAGGGUGCAAGCGUUGUCCGGAAUUAUUGGGCGUAAAGAGCUUGUAGGCGGUUUGUCGCGUCUGCUGUGAAAUUUCGGGGCUCAACCCCGAACUUGCAGUGGGUACGGGCAGACUAGAGUGUGGUAGGGGAGACUGGAAUUCCUGGUGUAGCGGUGAAAUGCGUAGAUAUCUGGAGGAACACCGGUGGCGAAGGCGGCAUCCUGGACCAAUUCUGACACUGAGGAGCGAAAGCCAGGGGAGCAAACGGG